GAUGAAGAACGUAGCGAAAUGCGAUAAGUAAUGUGAAUUGCAGAAUUCAGUGAAUCAUCGAAUCUUUGAACGCACCUUGCGCUCCUUGGUAUUCCGAGGAGCAUGCCUGUUUGAGUGUCAUUAAACUCUCAACUGUACAAGUUUUGAUAACUUUGUAUGGCUUGGAUGUGGGAUUUUGCAGGCUUGUGUCUUUACAAGUCAGCUGUCCUUAAAUGCAUUAGCAAAGCUUUCUUGUUGCUAACUUCUGGUGUGAUAAUUAUCUACGCCGUUGUUAAAUAGCAUCCUAGUUAUAAGGGCUUAGCUUCUAACUGUCUUUCUGAAGACAAUAUUUUGAUAUCUGACCUCAAAUCAGGUAGGAUUACCCGCUGAACUUAAGCAUAUCAAUAAGCGGAGGA
rnacentral:misc_RNA from 1 species